AUACAUAUGUCCCGAGUGUUACCCGGAAUAAUUGGGUGUAAAGGGUUCGUAGGCGGAUAAGAAAGUUGGACAUGAAAGACCGAAGCUCAACUUCGUGUUUGUAUCCAAAACUCCUUAUCUAGAAUUAGGGAGAGGUAAGCGGAAUUCUAAGUGUAGGGGUGCAAUCCGUAGAUACUUAGAGGAACACCGAAAGCGAAGGCAGCUUACUGGAACUAUAUUGACGCUGAGGAACGAAAGCGUGGGUAGCGAAAAGGAUUAGAUACCCCAGUAGUCC
rnacentral:rRNA from 1 species